UACGACGGGUGCAAGCGUUACUCGGAAUUACUGGGCGUAAAGCGUGCGUAGGUGGUUUGUUAAGUCUGUUGUGAAAGCCCCGGGCUCAACCUGGGAAUGGCAAUGGAUACUGGCAGGCUAGAGUGCGGUAGAGGGUAGUGGAACUCCCGGUGUAGCGGUGAAAUGCGUAGAGAUCGGGAGGAACACCAGUGGCGAAGGCGGCUACCUGGACCAGCACUGACACUGAGGCACGAAAGCGUGGGGAGCAAACAGG
rnacentral:rRNA from 1 species